rnacentral:rRNA from 1 species
GAUGAACGCUAGCGGCGUGCCUAAUACAUGCAAGUCGAGCGAACAGACGAGGAGCUUGCUCCUCUGACGUUAGCGGCGGACGGGUGAGUAACACGUGGAUAACCUACCUAUAAGACUGGGAUAACUUCGGGAAACCGGAGCUAAUACCGGAUAAUAUAUUGAACCGCAUGGUUCAAUAGUGAAAGACGGUUUUGCUGUCACUUAUAGAUGGAUCCGCGCCGCAUUAGCUAGUUGGUAAGGUAACGGCUUACCAAGGCAACGAUGCGUAGCCGACCUGAGAGGGUGAUCGGCCACACUGGAACUGAGACACGGUCCAGACUCCUACGGGAGGCAGCAGUAGGGAAUCUUCCGCAAUGGGCGAAAGCCUGACGGAGCAACGCCGCGUGAGUGAUGAAGGUCUUCGGAUCGUAAAACUCUGUUAUUAGGGAAGAACAAAUGUGUAAGUAACUAUGCACGUCUUGACGGUACCUAAUCAGAAAGCCACGGCUAACUACGUG